rnacentral:rRNA from 1 species
GCCAGAGGGUGCGAACGUUGUUCGGCCUUACUGGGCGUAAAGCGCGUGUAGGCGGCAAUGCAAGUCGGGCGUGAAAUCCCACGGCUCAACCGUGGAAGUGCACUCGAAACUGCAUAGCUAGAGUCCUGGAGAGGAAGGUGGAAUGCUUGGUGUAGAGGUGAAAUUCGUAGAUAUCAAGCGGAACACCGGUGGCGAAGGCGGCCUUCUGGACAGUGACUGACGCUGAGACGCGAAAGCGUGGGGAGCAAACAGG